CUUGACAUGUCAGGAAGCUCUUGUAAUGAGAGCGUGCCCGCAAGGGAGCCUGAACACAGGUGCUGCAUGGCUGUCGACAGCUCGUGUCGUGAGAUGUUGGGUUAAGUCCCGCAACGAGCGCAACCCUUGUCACUAGUUGCUACGAAAGGGCACUCUAGUGAGACUGCCGGUGACAAACCGGAGGAAGGUGGGGAUGACGUCAAGUCCUCAUGGCCCUUAUG
rnacentral:rRNA from 1 species